GGUUCCGUAGCUCAGUGGAUAGAGCACACGAUUGCAAUUGCUUAUGCCAAUUAUCGUGGGGUCCCGUGUUCGAACCACGGUGGGACCU